GAUAAACGUUAGCGGUGUGCUUUAUGCAUGCAAGUCGUACGGGACUAUAGUUUUCGGAUUAUAGUCUAGUGGCAAAUGGCUGAGUAAUACAUAAGUAACCUGCCUGCGAGUGGUGGAUAACUUGCCGAAAGGCAAGCUAAUACAGCAUACGGUAAUCAGGGAUCUCCUGAUUAUUAAAGCCGCAAGGCGCUUGUAGUGGGGCUUAUGCCUGAUUAGCUUGUUGGUGAGGUAACGGCCCACCAAGGCUUUGAUCAGUAGCUGGUCUGAGAGGAUGAGCAGCCAGAUGGGGACUGAGAUACGGCCCCAACUCCUACGGGAGGCUG
rnacentral:rRNA from 1 species